rnacentral:rRNA from 1 species
GAUGAACGCUGGCGGCGUGCCUAAUACAUGCAAGUCGAGCGAACAGAUGAGGAGCUUGCUCCUCUGACGUUAGCGGCGGACGGGUGAGUAACACGUGGAUAACCUACCUAUAAGACUGGGAUAACUUCGGGAAACCGGAGCUAAUACCGGAUAAUAUAUUGAACCGCAUGGUUCAAUAGUGAAAGACGGUUUUGCUGUCACUUAUAGAUGGAUCCGCGCCGCAUUAGCUAGUUGGUAAGGUAACGGCUUACCAAGGCGACGAUGCGUAGCCGACCUGAGAGGGUGAUCGGCCACACUGGAACUGAGACACGGUCCGGACUCCUACGGGAGGCAGCAGUAGGGAAUCUUCCGCAAUGGGCGAAAGCUUGACGGAGCAACGCCGCGUGAGUGAUGAAGGUCUUCGGAUCGUAAAACUCUGUUAUUAGGGAAGAACAAAUGUGUAAGUAACUAUGCACGUCUUGACGGUACCUAAUCAGAAAGCCACGGCUAACUACGUG